rnacentral:rRNA from 1 species
CAUGAGUGGCGGACGGGUGAGUAACGCGUGGGCAACCUGGCCUGUACAGGGGGAUAACACUUAGAAAUAGGUGCUAAUACCGCAUAACGGGAGAAGCCGCAUGGCUUUUUCCUGAAAACUCCGGUGGUACAGGAUGGACCCGCGUCUGAUUAGCUGGUUGGCGGGGUAACGGCCCACCAAGGCGACGAUCAGUAGCCGGCCUGAGAGGGUGAACGGCCACAUUGGGACUGAGACACGGCCCAAACUCCUACGGAAGGCAGCAG